ACUUUCAUUUCCUCUACAUAAUUCUGUAAAACACGUUGCACUCGUGGUGAUGAAGCUUCAUGGAAGUUCUUCUUUGUUACUCAUGAGACACACCCUGCUGUAAAGGCGCAGCGUCCUUGAAUAGACCAAAUCGUAGCCAGACCCUUAGCAGGACCAGAAGGAUCCGUUUCGUUUUGACUGGAUUCAGACCUCAGCAUGUCGCUUUUGCUCCUGCUUAUCGGCUGUUUGGUCUCAGGCGCCGCACAGGCAGGUGAGCAACACCUGUGUACGUCAUUGGAAAUGUGAUGUUACAUAGCAGUUCACCAAACUGAAGUGGAUGUCUAUGUCUUCUGAGUGUCCUUUUCUCCAACCCUGGCUGUGACAGAUGCUCCUACUGGGUCAGCACCGGUCCUUCCUUCUGCGAACUCGGCAGACAGUGUGCUAGUAUUCUUCCAGGCGACUAUCGAAUCCCACCAUGAGCUGAAUAAAACCAUGCUCGAGCAAGUCGUAAAGAUGGUUCAGGGACUCCUGCAGGGACUUCAACCACAUGCUGAUCUCCAUCUGACGCUGAAGAACGUCACCAAAGUCUGAAACUGCUCCUUUAGCUGAGCUCGCUCGUUUUCAUAUGGGCAUUAACCAAAAAAAAAAAAAAAAAAAGUAAAAAUAAGAAUCAUUCUAUCUAAUGC